AUACUUUGCCAUGUUGAAAACACGCAUUCUCGUCCGAUCACCGAAGUUAAGCGCAUCGCCGGGCCCGGUCAGUACUUGGGAGGGUGGCCACCUGGGAACACUGGGUGUUGUAAACU